rnacentral:rRNA from 1 species
AUUGAACGCUGGCGGCAGGCCUAACACAUGCAAGUCGAACGGAUGAAGGGAGCUUGCUCCUGGAUUCAGCGGCGGACGAGUGGGUAAUGCCUAGGAAUCUGCCUGGUAGUGGGGGAUAACGUCCGGAAACGGGCGCUAAUACCGCAUACGUCCUGAGGGAGAAAGUGGGGGAUCUUCGGACCUCACGCUAUCAGAUGAGCCUAGGUCGGAUUAGCUAGUUGGUGGGGUAAAGGCCUACCAAGGCGACGAUCCGUAACUGGUCUGAGAGGAUGAUCAGUCACACUGGAACUGAGACACGGUCCAGACUCCUACGGGAGGCAGCAGUGGGGAAUAUUGGACAAUGGGCGAAAGCCUGAUCCAGCCAUGCCGCGUGUGUGAAGAAGGUCUUCGGAUUGUAAAGCACUUUAAGUUGGGAGGAAGGGCAGUAAGUUAAUACCUUGCUGUUUUGACGUUACCAACAGAAUAAGCACCGGCUAACUUCGUG